AUGGCUCAAAAAUCAGUAAAACCCUCCAGAAAUCAUCUCUCCGAUCAGAAAAGUUUCCGCUAUUUGCCGUUAUUGCCCGCUAUGGCCUCCGCUAUAGCUGCUUGGAGAGGCCGCCGUGAAAUCGUUUCUCCCGUGAUUUUAAUCUAUGAUCCAAACGUCGUGGACUCGAGGGGUUUGAGCACGUUCGUGGCGCUCCGUCUUAUCUUUCUCAGUGAACCACCAGCCAGCGCUGUGAGGACGACUCUUCGCGCUUGCUUGGUUGAUCAGAGAGGAGUGCCUAAGCCAUCCCAUGAAGUUUCUCAGAGAAUAACAUUCAAGAAGCCCCAAGAUAGCUCAGAGAGAAUUAAGCUAGAAGGAUUGGGAUAUGUCAAGGAUGACUCUUUUAGUGUGCAGUGCACCCUUGAUGUUCUCAAGGAAAUAGGAGAGGAAACGGCCCUUGAAGAACUGCAUCUGCCAUCGUCUGACUUGCACCUGCAAUUGGCUCAACUCCUUCAGAGCGAGACAGGAGCUGACGUCACAUUUCUCGUGUCCGGCGAAUCUUUUUCUGCGCACAAGCUCAUUGUCGCCGCAAGGUCCCCUGUCUUUAUGGCCGAGUUUUUUGGAGACAUGAAGGAGAAGUGCUCGCAAUGUGUGGAGAUCAAGGACAUGGAUGCUGAGGUGUUCAAGGCCCUGCUUCAGUUCAUCUACACAGACACCAUGCCAGAACUCAGACAGCGGGAGUGGGAUGCGGAGGACGAGGCAGAGUAUGAACAGCAGGAGGAGGCAGAUGCAAAGGCGGCGACUGUGAUGGCUCAGCAUCUGCUUGCUGCUGCUGACAGGUAUGGACUGGAUAGGCUCAAGCACAUAUGUGCCGGUAAGCUCUCUAGUAGCAUCAACGUGGACACGGCGGCAACAACUUUGGCUUUAGCCGAGCAGCACAAUUGCCCAGAGCUCAAGACAAGAUGUGUUCAGUUCAUUAUCAGAACUCCUGCCACUCUUGAUGCUGUGUUGGCGACGGAGGGGUAUAAGCACCUCGAGGCAAGCUGCCCUCUGGUGGUGAUCGACCUUCUCAAGGCUGCGCAUGGGAGAAAAAUUUGA
rnacentral:rRNA from 1 species